AUGCACCAUUUUGAGUUGGUCAUAUGGGUUUGUGUCUCUGACAAGUUCAUCAUCGAAGAAAUAAUACGGUCUAUAAUACAAGUGGCAUCGAAGGAGAAAUCUAAAUUUACCAAUAUAGAGGCACUGCGGAAGGAACUUACUGAAGUGUUGGGUAAUAAAAGGUACCUCCUAGUGUUGGAUGAUGUUUGGAAGGAGGACAGACAAAAGUGGGAUGAUAUGAUAUCAUUGGUAUGCUCACAUGCUGGCUCGGGUAGUGCUAUAAUUGUGACAAGCCGCAGCAAUCAAGUUGCUUCUAUCACGGGCACACUUCCUCCACAUCACAUAUCACUUCUAGAUGAAGAUCAAUCAUGGGAGCUUUUUCAUAGAAACACAUUUGGAAGGGGAGUGGAAAAGCAAGAGGAAUUGAUUUUAGUGGCUAAGAAUAUUGUGAACAAGUGUAAGGGAUUACCUCUUGCUAUCAAGACCAUAGCAGCUUUACUUCAUUCAAAGCAUCACAGUCAAUGGUUUUCUGUUCUGGAUAGUGAUGUCUGGAAGGAUGAUAUCCUCACAACUACCGGAAUUGUACCUGCAUUACAGCUGAGCUAUGAUCACUUGUCAUCGGAAGAAAAAAUAUGUUUUUCUUUAUGUGCUAUUUUCCCCAAGGAUAGCUUGAUGGAUAAAGACAUGUUAAUUCAUUUGUGGAUGGCAAAUGAAUUUAUUGCGUCAGAAACAAGAGGCCAACAAAUUUUUGAUGUGCUAGUUUGGAGAUGUUUCCUCCAAGAUUUGAAUAUUCAAAAGACUUUGCUCUCUAGUUUUGAUGAGUUCAUCCACAGACCAACCACUUGCAAGAUGCAUGAUCUCAUGCAUGAUCUUGCUGACUUGGUAAGCGGAAAUGAUUGCUCCAUUGUGCAAAUAGAUCAAAUACUUCUGCAGCGAUGCCGAUAUGCUAGUCCAUUAGAGCUUGAGGCUCGACAUUUGUCACUCGAUAUUGAUGGUCCAUUAGAAAUUCUAGCUCCUCGACCCCGCACGAUAUUAGUCCAAAUGAAAUCAGGACUGAGUCAUCGAAGUAGGGCCAAGUCAAAAUUCUUCUCUUUACGAGCAUUGAGGACAUUCCAAACAAUGACACAUAUGACAAACCUGAAGCAUCUUCGCUAUCUAGAUUGUUCUUAUUCUGAUGUAUCAUCAUUGCCUGAAGCCACUUCUAUGUUGUAUAGCUUGCAAACACUGAAGCUCAUCGGUUGUAACAAUCUCAAUAAAUUACCAGAAGGCAUGAGAUAUAUGAGCAGUCUUCGGCACAUCUUCCUCGUUGGGUGUCGUUGUUUGGAGCGCAUGCCAAAAAGUAUUGGUCAGCUAAAUUCUCUACAAACACUGACGAAUUAUGUCAUUGGGAGUGAUGGAGGUCGUGGAAUUGAUCAACUGAAAGAUUUGAAUCUAGGUGGUGCUCUUUCUUUGACUGAGCUAAGAAGAGUUCAUAGUGCCGAAAAUGCUAAACAAAGCAAUAUGUCUGGCAAACAUAAUUUGAAACGAUUAUCACUUGAUUGGGCACAUGGAACUUCUUAUGGCACACAUGUUGGAUAUGAAGUACAUACUGAUGCAGAAGGAAUAUUAAAAGCUCUUUGUCCCGCCAAAAGGCUUGAAGUAUUAGUGUUAUCUAAUUAUACGGGUGCUAAAUUCUCGUCAUGGAUGCACAACUCUACACUGUUAGAACAUCUUAGUGAACUUUCUCUGACUGGAUGCAAGAACUGCAAGGAUCUUCCACCAUUAUGGCAGCUGCCCUCCCUCGAAUACUUGAGUUUGAAAGGUUUGCAUAGCUUGGCAAGUAUAUGUGUUGGUAAUGAUGAUAUAGACAAUGGGGAAUCCUUUAUUUCUCCACCACCCUUCUUUCCUAAAUUGGAAACCAUGAUAGUUGCUAACAUGCCCAAGCUACAGAGAUGGCACCAGGAAGAGGCAGGACAAGUAGCGGUCGUACUGUUCCCUCGGCUCAAGAAGCUAAACAUUUCCGUGUGCCCAAUGCUAGCAAGCAUGCCCAAGAUGCUCCCAUUGCUUGAAGAUCUACUAGUGAUAGAUGCAAGACACAUCCCCCUUUACCAUCUGAUGGGUCUGUUUGUGCAGUUUAAUCUUGAAUGCAAAGCCAACAUCUCAGUGGAACCUAGAGUUGGCUGGCUGCCUAUUGGUGACUUUCAUUUGUUGAGGCUUGGUGAUUCUUAUAUGAGACUGAGGCUCAAGGGUUUGAUGGACAAUGUAGGGCGUUUUGAAGAGGAAUUGUACAGAAUGCCUUGCAGAUUUAUUAAAGAUCUGGAUAUAACAGAUUGCGGCUGUCUUUUUUCACCUGAACCAUCCCAAAUACAACAAAAUAUAUGGAAUCAUUUUGGUUUUGUUGAAAGUAUGCGAAUUACAGCCUGCAAUAAUAUAGUGCAAUGGCCAGUAGUUGAAAUCAGAAACUUGAACCUUCUUCGACUUCUACACUUAUCUUUUUGUUCCAACUUAACUGGUUCACUUCCAUCAACAAUAUCCGAUGAUGAAAAUGUCAUACCUCCUCAGCUCCAGCAUCUAGAAAUUGAAUUCUGUCUAAGUUUGGUUGAGGUACCAAAACUGCCUGCAUCUCUCGAAAAAUUGAGCAUUGAUUUUUGUCCCAAGCUGGGGUCCAUGCCAACAAUUCUUGGGAACGUCAAAAACCUGAGAGAUCUCAGGUUGUCAGAUUGCAACGCCUUGACGACAUUUUCUGAUGGAAUGUACGGAGUCACUGCACUCAGGACGUUGGUGAUGGAGUGGUGCCCAAUGAUAGAGACACUACCGGAGGGACUCCUGCAGCAACUCCCAGCCCUGGAGGAACUACAUAUCAGAGACUGCCCCAACUUGGAGGAGGACUUGUUAAGCCGAGGCGCUGACUGGAAUUUGGUUGAAGCAAUUCCAAAUAGAUCAGUUGGCAGAUCCAUGCCCUGA
rnacentral:rRNA from 1 species